rnacentral:lncRNA from 1 species
UUUGAAAGAACACAAUCGAUGUGCAGGACCUUUACUAUUAUAAGUACAACAACAACAACAACAACAACAAUGCCUUAGCACACAAGUUGGGCCAGCAACCUCUACUAUUAUAAGUAAGACUAAGAAAAGAGCAUUUAAAAUGAUCAAAUUUUACUUACUUCAAAAUGAUAAAACUAUCCUGAGAAUACUUACUUGCUGAACUAGAACUCUUAUUCGGGCGAGCAAAGCCAAUACUGUCAAGGAAAAUCCCAUAAAAAAGGAUCGUGCAAGAAGUGUCGAGAUCUCCCUGUAUACAGUUAAGGGUAAAAAAACAAU